AUGAACCAAUUUCAAGCUAUACCUAUGGUGUCUAUAGAUUAUCUCAUUCUCAAGCAAAUUCGGCCUUCAAAGAUUUCAAUAUCUAAGAGCAACAAGAUGAAUUCCUCUUUGCAUGAAUUUCCAAAGAAACCAUUUCUCACAUUUUUGGCUGCAACAACUUGUGACAACUAUGGGAAGAUCCACAUCUACUUUCAAAUUCAAUAA